rnacentral:rRNA from 1 species
GACGAACGCUGGCGGCGUGCCUAAUACAUGCAAGUCGAACGCUUCUUUUCCCACCGGAGCUUGCUCCACCGGGAAAAGAGGAGUGGCGAACGGGUGAGUAACACGUGGGUAACCUGCCCAUCAGAAGGGGAUAACACUUGGAAACAGGUGCUAAUACCGUAUAACAAUCGAAACCGCAUGGUUUCGUUUUGAAAGGCGCUUUACGGUGCCGCUGAUGGAUGGACCCGCGGUGCAUUAGCUAGUUGGUGAGGUAACGGCUCACCAAGGCCACGAUGCAUAGCCGACCUGAGAGGGUGAUCGGCCACAUUGGGACUGAGACACGGCCCAAACUCCUACGGGAGGCAGCAGUAGGGAAUCUUCGGCAAUGGACGAAAGUCUGACCGAGCAACGCCGCGUGAGUGAAGAAGGUUUUCGGAUCGUAAAACUCUGUUGUUAGAGAAGAACAAGGGUGAGAGUAACUGUUCACCCCUUGACGGUAUCUAACCAGAAAGCCACGGCUAACUACGUGCCAGCAGCCGCAGUAA